AUCAUGACCGGAGCCGAAGUGGGACGCUCAACCGACUGAGCCAGCCAGAUUUGGCUAAUAGGUUCUGUUCAGCGCCGAUUUCAAUGUCCUCUCAGCCACCUUUCCCUUGACCUUGAAGGGGACAUGUUUUACCUUGUUAUGCACAGGGCACCCACACCCUUCUGCUAUCACUUGUCAUCUUUGCAGGCAGGAUCUUAACUUACCGGGAGCACAGGCAUGACCUCGCAUGUCUGACAUCCUACCGUGAGGACAUUUGUUGGACACGUUUGUUGAGGACAUACAAGUCUCAAAUCUUUCCGUAUUUUGGGGGUUCUGGAGGCAACAUAUUCCUUGUUGAUAAAUUUUACUUCAGCCCACUUAUGCUGUUACUUGUAAAUCAGACCACAUUGAGUGGGCCUCCACCCAAACAAAGCGGUUGGAGAAUACUCUCCUCCCAUAGACAC